GUGUUAUUGGUAGUAGAACGCCCCGGGAUUAUUUAGUGUUGGAAACACUACCGGCGCUGAAACUGCUGACAUUAGUAACAAAAAAAUGGAAAACAUGGCCGUAAGUCCAAGGGUUUCGAAAUAAAGAGUGAUUCGAUAGUAACAAAUUAUUAUAA
rnacentral:rRNA from 1 species